rnacentral:rRNA from 1 species
GUCGAGCGGCGGACGGGUGAGUAACGCGUGAGAAUCUGCCCAUUUGUGGGGGAUAACUCGGGGAAACUCGAGCUAAUACCGCAUAAUCCCUACGGGGGAAAGCAGGGGACCUUCGGGCCUUGUGCAGAUGGAUGAGCUCGCGUCGGAUUAGCUUGUUGGUGAGGUAAAAGCUCACCAAGGCGACGAUCCGUAGCUGGUCUGAGAGGAUGAUCAGCCACACCGGGACUGAGACACGGCCCGGACUCCUACGGGAGGCAGCAGUGGGGAAUCUUGGACAAUGGGGGCAACCCUGAUCCAGCCAUGCCGCGUGUGUGAAGAAGGCCUUCGGGUUGUAAAGCACUUUCAGUAGGGAGGAAGGCUUACCGCUAAUAACGGUGAGUACUUGACGUUACCUACAGAAGAAGCACCGGCUAAUUUCGUGCCAGCAGCCGCGGUAAUACGAAAGGUGCGAGCGUUAAUCGGAAUUACUGGGCGUAAAGCGCGCGUAGGCGGUUUGUUAAGUCAGAUGUGAAAGCCCCGGGCUCAACCUGGGAAUUGCAUUUGAAACUGGCAGGCUAGAAUGCAGUAGAGGGAGGUGGAAUUUCCGGUGUAGCGGUGAAAUGCGUAGAGAUCGGAAGGAACACCAGUGGCGAAGGCGGCCUCCUGGACUGACAUUGACGCUGAGGUGCGAAAGCGUGGGGAGCAAACAGGAUUAGAUACCCUGGUAGUCCACGCCGUAAACGAUGUCUACUAGUCGUUGGGAAUCUUAGUAUUCUUGGUGACGAAGUUAACGCGAUAAGUAGACCGCCUGGGGGAGUACGGCCGCAAGGUUAAAACUCAAAUGAAUUUGACGGGGGCCCGCACAAGCGGUGGAGCAUGGGGGUUUAAUUCGAUGCAACGCGAAGAACCUUACCAGGCCUUGACAUCCUUGGAACUUUCUAAAAGAUAGAUUGGUGCCUUCGGGAGCCAAGUGACAGGUGCUGCAUGGCUGUCGUCAGCUC